rnacentral:lncRNA from 1 species
AAAUUUUUAAACCAAAAAUAAACCCCCAAAGACCAAAAAUAGAACCAAAAUCAAAUCAAAAACAAAAUAAAAACAGACCCAAUUUUGAAGCCCAAAUGCUUAACCCUAACCCACAAACCCCAAAACAUUUUCAGCUAAGACCCUAGCUUCCAACUGCCUCCAUGCUUCUACUACCCACGUUCUCCACCACCAAGCACGACCCACGCCCCACAUCCAUUAUACCUGCAACUUGAG